UGGCUGAGCGGUAUAGCGCUUGGCUUCCGAGCAGGGUUUCCCGGGUUAGAAUCCUGG
rnacentral:tRNA from 1 species